GACGAACGCUGGCGGCGUGCUUAACACAUGCAAGUCGAACGGAAAGGCCCCUUUGGGGGUACUCGAGUGGCGAACGGUUGAGUAACACGUGAGUAACCUGCCCUUGACUUCGGGAUAACUUCAGGAAACUGGGGCUAAUACCGGAUAGGAAUCCUUGCUGCAUGGUGGGGGUUGGAAAGCUUCGGCGGUUUUGGAUGGACUCGCGGCUUAUCAGCUUGUUGGUGGGGUAGUGGCUUACCAAGGCUUUGACGGGUAGCCGGCCUGAGAGGGCGACCGGCCACAUUGGGACUGAGAUACGGCCCAGACUCCUAAGGGAGGCAGCAGUGGGGAACAUUGCACAAUGGGCGGAAGCCUGAUGCAGCAACGCCGCGUGCGGGAUGACGGCCUUCGGGUUGUAAACCGCUUUCAGCAGGGGCGAAGCUUGUGGUGACGGUACCUGCAGAAGAAGCACCGGCUAACUACGUG
rnacentral:rRNA from 1 species